UACGUAGGGGGCAAGCGUUGUCCGGAAUCAUUGGGCGUAAAGCGCGUGUAGGCGGCUUGGUAAGUCCGCUGUGAAAGCCCGGGGCUCAACCCCGGGAGGCGGGUGGAUACUGCUGGGCUCGAGUCCGGAAGAGGAGUGUGGAAUUCCUGGUGUAGCGGUGAAAUGCGCAGAUAUCAGGAGGAACACCAAUGGCGAAGGCAGCACUCUGGGACGGUACUGACGCUGAGACGCGAAAGCGUGGGGAGCAAACAGG
rnacentral:rRNA from 1 species